rnacentral:rRNA from 1 species
GACGAACCGUGCGAACGUUGUUCGGAAUCACUGGGCUUAAAGGGCGCGUAGGCGGCUGACAAGUCUGGGGUGAAAUCCCACGGCUCAACCGUGGAACUGCCUUAGAUACUGUCGGCCUCGAGGAAGGUAGGGGCAUGCGGAACUGUAGGUGGAGCGGUGAAAUGCGUUGAUAUCUACAGGAACUCCGGUGGCGAAAGCGGCGUGCUGGACCUUUUCUGACGCUGAGGCGCGAAAAGCUAGGGGAGCAAA